CCUAAUACGUAACGAUGAGUCAAAUGACGCUACGGAACUGAGAAUGCAAUAAUUAGACACAACCACAGACGGAGAGCUCCACCUUCCCGCUCGGUCCAAAUAAAAAUCUUUACUAAAAAGGAAAUGAUUAACAACCACAGAGAUCAACUUUAGUUGAAUUUCCAGUUCAACAGAGUUCAGUUUUUUUUAACAAGUACUAAAUAUAAAUAGUAUACCUAAAACUGAGAAUAAGUUUUAAAUUUAAAAAAAUAAAAGAAAAUAUUUUUAAUAAUAAAUAAUAAUUUAUUUUACUUUUUAUGGAGUAUUUUAUCAAUGAUUCACAGUGAAACAUGCAUCGAAAAACGACAAAUUUUUUAGUGCUUCUCAGAAUUACUGUACCUUUAUGUUAAACACUAUUAGUAUAGAUGAUUCUUAUAUUAGAUGUUUUUCAAACAUACAAUAUACUUUACUUAUAUGUAUUCCUGAUUAUACUUACUAAUAUUAUAAAUGUGAAAGUGUGUUUAGUGAUAAACCAAAUACAUUUGAUAUACAUGUAAUAUUUGGCUGGUAUAUCUGUAUUAAUACAUAAUGUAUUUCUUAAAACAUGUUCUUAAAAUAUACAUCUAGGUCUUAAUCCACUUUAAGAAAAAUAAUUGUCAUUCCCGUUCUUAUAACUGUUAACUCUCUGGCCGCGAUAACGCAGCGGUUAGUUGAUAUUUAUAGACGUGUCUGCCAUCAUAAACACGCAGUUCGAGCGAGUGCAGCGCGACUUACGGUACAUUACGUGGGAGUGCAGACUUAUUUAUCAAUAACUUGCCGUGUUCCACUACAAUAAGAUAAAAUGGCAGUGUAUAGAAUUGCUUUGACCCUGACGGUCAUAAUCGCUAUGAUAAAUGCCCAACGACCUUUUUACGCGGGAUCCGGAGCUAUUGGAUAUCCACAGUUAGAUAAUAAUGUCGUACAGCUUUCAAAUAGAUUUGGAGAAGAUGAACCCUUACCAGUUGAAGCCAAAGGGGACAGAAAUCUGAUAAACAGACUCGAAAGUGUGCCGAUUGAUAACAGACCGUUUUGGUAUUUGAAUUGGCAACAAUACGAAGCUAUGAGGAAACGACCGCAAACGUGGCAGCAAAAUCCAAAUUCAUUCAUUGACAAAUAAAGGAAAAUAAAAAUAAAUGCUGAGUUCGAAAUUUAAAAUGCCAAACGUCUCGAUAAGUCCAGACGUGGCAUGCUGGAUCGUACAAAAUAACAAUAGAUUUCGAUAGAUAGAUUCAAAUUUCGAUUUUUGAAUGAUAUAAAAGCAAUUUGUUAUUUUUUUCUAUUUAGCAAUCUGGCUAGAUCAUUCAAUUUACACUUUAAACAUAUUUUAGAUACUUGAAAAAUACAUUAUGUACUCUUUCGGUAAAUAAUGAUUUCCAGUCUUAACUGUAUUUUUUGUUUACGACAACUUUGUUAUUAUUUUUGUUAUUUAUUUGAUAUUUUUUAAGUAAUGUUUUCCUUAAUAACUUGAUGUACGAUCAAUACCUGAAAUUAAUUUGUAAUUGUAAUGAAUCCUGUGAUAUAUUAUUAUAUUUUGUUUAUAAUUGA